UACAUACAAAGCUAAAAGAGACUUUUAGCGUCAAUAACGACAAAGGCACUUGACCAAGCGUCCAUAUCUUACGAGAUGGGAGUGGGAAUCUAUUGCAACAGUCC